CCUACGGGAGGCAGCAGUAGGGAAUCUUCCACAAUGGACGAAAGUCUGAUGGAGCAACGCCGCGUGAGUGAAGAAGGGUUUCGGCUCGUAAAGCUCUGUUGGUAGUGAAGAAAGAUAGAGGUAGUAACUGGCCUUUAUUUGACGGUAAUUACUUAGAAAGUCACGGCUAACUACGUGACAGCAGCCGCGGUAAUACGUAGGUGGCAAGCGUUGUCCGGAUUUAUUGGGCGGAAGGGGAGGUCAGGCGGUUCAAUAAGUUUGAUGGGAAAGCCUUCGGCUCAACCGGAGAAUUGCAUCAGAAACUGUUGAACUUGAGUGCAGAAGAGGAGAGUGGAACUCCAUGUGGAGCGGUGGAAUGCGUAGAUAUAUGGAAGAACACCAGUGGCGAAGGCGGCUCUCUGGUCUGCAACUGACGCUGAGGCUCGAAAGCAUGGGUAGCGAACAGGAUUAGAUACCCGAGUAGUC
rnacentral:rRNA from 1 species